AGUGAACGCUGGCGGUAGGCCUAACACAUGCAAGUCGAACGGCAGCACAGUAAGAGCUUGCUCUUACGGGUGGCGAGUGGCGGACGGGUGAGGAAUACAUCGGAAUCUACUUUUUCGUGGGGGAUAACGUAGGGAAACUUACGCUAAUACCGCAUACGACCUACGGGUGAAAGCAGGGGAUCUUCGGACCUUGCGCGAUUGAAUGAGCCGAUGUCGGAUUAGCUAGUUGGCGGGGUAAAGGCCCACCAAGGCGACGAUCCGUAGCUGGUCUGAGAGGAUGAUCAGCCACACUGGAACUGAGACACGGUCCAGACUCCUACGGGAGGCAGCAGUGGGGAAUAUUGGACAAUGGGCGCAAGCCUGAUCCAGCCAUACCGCGUGGGUGAAGAAGGCCUUCGGGUUGUAAAGCCCUUUUGUUGGGAAAGAAAAGGAGCAGGUUAAUACCCCGCUGUUCUGACGGUACCCAAAGAAGAAGCACCGGCUAACUUCGUG
rnacentral:rRNA from 1 species